ACGAACGCUGGCGGCGUGCUUAACACAUGCAAGUCGAGCGGUAAGGCCCUUCGGGGUACACGAGCGGCGAACGGGUGAGUAACACGUGGGUGACCUGCCCCCUACUCUGGGAUAAGCCUGGGAAACUGGGUCUAAUACCGGAUAUGACUGCUGGUUGCAUGACUGGUGGUGGAAAGUGUGUUCUUGAUUGAGCACCUCGGUGGGGGAUGGGCCCGCGGCCUAUCAGCUUGUUGGUGGGGUGAUGGCCUACCAAGGCGACGACGGGUAGCCGGCCUGAGAGGGCGACCGGCCACACUGGGACUGAGACACGGCCCAGACUCCUACGGGAGGCAGCAGUGGGGAAUAUUGCGCAAUGGGCGGAAGCCUGACGCAGCGACGCCGCGUGGGGGAUGACGGCCUUCGGGUUGUAAACCUCUUUCGGCCCCGACGAAGCGUGAGUGACGGUAGGGGUAGAAGAAGCACCGGCCAACUACGU
rnacentral:rRNA from 1 species